AAGAAAAAAAAAAAAAUUAAAAGAAUUAAACUCGUGGAAUUUUUUAAUACUAGAACUACCAAAGUGGUCGAAAUUGGCCAAUUUAUGAUUUCUUGUUAGAAACGUUAGACAUGGAAUGAUGUAUUUUUAAAAAUUUAGACAAUUUUUCGAAAAUUGUGCAAAUACAAGCUUGUGUGAUUUGUUGCAUUGUAAAGCUUUUCCAUUCUCUUAUUUUAACGUUUCUGGAUGGAAAUUUUGUGCUUUGGUCGUCGGUGUUUUUCAGUUCUAGUUAAGUUUCAAUAGAUUUGUAGUUGACUGGUGUAGGUAAAAGUGCUCCGUUUCACGUUUUUGUAAGUUCCCCUUCAGAAAAUAUUCUCGUCAUUCCCUCGAGGAGAUCUCGUUCGUAAAUCGACUCGCGAACCAUCGUCGUCAGAGUUGAACGGUUGAGGAAAGAUAAUAAGAAUCGAGGUUGCAAAGCUGUCCAACGAGAAGGAACUCGCCAGGAAACCCUGUUCUCGUAGGUGCCUAUCGAAGCUACCGACAAAGAACGGUGUGUGUACGUGCACGGAGCGUCGUCUCGAUCGAUUUCUCGAAGAGAAUCGAAGAUGGCAGAGAUGAAGGAGCGCGAUUGGUGUCCGCGUCGAAGAUACAUACCGACAAGACGAGUCGUUGUCGAGUAGUGCCGUGAGAAAGAAGGGCAACGCGACGAAAGAGGAUAUGAUAAACAUGUGAUAUUACGAUUUUUUAUAUAUAUCAGCUACUUUGCAAUAACGGAUUAUCGCCGUACUCGAGCGGAGAACGUCGCGACACGGGUCGUCGUUGUCGACAUCGUCGUCGUCGUCGUCGUUGACUUUCAUUCCGUCAACGACAGGUUUACGAACAAGUGAAGCUUCAAGUUUUCAGUUCUUCGUCAGAUUUCCGCUUCGUUACGUUUCGUGAUCAAAUCUGUGCCUGUGCCUAUGUCAAGGAUUUUGCUUGAAUUUAAUCUCGUAAUUUUUUUUUUUUUUUUUCUUGGAGAAGUAUGAAAGACUAAAGGACGUUUUUCUUUCUUGUUAAAAAGAAAAGAAGAAAAAGCAAAAGUUACGCGACAACGACUGUGAUCGCCACGACGAUCGAAGAAGCCGUGAUCGUACCGAAUUUUUUUGUGAAGAUGAUCAAGAGAGUCUAUAUAUAGUAGCUAUCCGGCGGAAUAACAAAGAAAUAAAGAAAAAAAAUAUAUAUAUAUUAUUAUUAUAAUCAUUAUUAUGAUUACUAUUAGAACAAAAAGAAAAAAAAAGGGGGGGGGGUAAGAACAAAUUUUUGCUAUAACUAAACACUUCGUCCAUUUUUCUAUAUGGGCAAUUCGUUGCACUGUAAUCAAGUCCUCGGCCUUGUAAAUUCUGUCCUUGUCACAUUUCCGGAAAACUGCUCUCCGAUGAUCGAACCGUCACGAGGGAUCGAUCGCCUCCUCGCGACCGUCGCUCAACUUUACCCGACUUCACACGUGACUCUUUCGAAGGACAAUUUCAGAUCAAUGGCUUCUCACCGAUAGAAAAUAGCGUUUCAACGAACAUAACCUCUCCCGUACUCGGCUUGUUUUCAUUUGUAACUCGAGACGCCGUUGCCUCGCGAGGGAAACGUAAACGAACAACGCGAACGUAAACAAAGUGCAAGAGGCGAUCGAGAAGCUUCUCCGAAUCUUCGAUUUUUCCACUUUUUCUAUCGACAGGACGGGAAAUCAAAUGAAAAUAAAGCGAGAUCCGUAAAUUCGCGAACGACGAUCGAUCCCCGUGGCGGUUGAUAAUCGACGAGAUCAUCCCCCGAGCUGUUCGCCUACUCUCGCGGAAA